CCGAACACCGGGCCGUUCGUGCACUUCCACCGAACAAGAAGGGAGGUCGGCGGCUUCAGCGGUGUUCGUGCAAAACUGUGUCCGAUUUUAGUUCCAUGAAAAUAGGGGCGAACACCGCUGUGCAUUCGUAUGUUUAAAAUGGCCGCAACCUCGUGUUCGGGAUACGAAUGGCGGCCACCCAGCAUUCGUCAAUUAAGCUGCGGUUAACCGCAGCUUCAGGGAGGUUAAUUGCCGGCACACUCCAGCUCCCAGG